UCUUCCUGGGCCGGGUGAACAUCGCCGUGAAGCUCAGUGGCUCUGUGCUUAACGACUUCAUUUUUUCACCGACACCCUUCUAAUAAAAGCUGUUUGAAGAAGGGGGGAUUUGAAGGCUUCUGUGGUUGGGGGCAGGUUGUCAUCUAAGUCGGCUUCCCUUCUGGACAAAGCGCCCAUUGUCUGCGGGAGCUGGCAUGACAGAGGAACCACAAGAGGGCGCGCCAAGCCUCGGAAUAAAUAGCUCGUCUGUCCUAGCCGCUAAGGCGGUGGAACUGCCAGCCCAUGUUGGGAGGACUCCUAAUCCACCAGACACACGAAUGUUCUAGAAGCCCUUCAGGGACGUUCUCAUGGUUGGACAAAGAAGAGCUCUGCAGACAGGGUCUCUUACCUGGAGUAUACAGACUGACUUGACCAGCUGGCCAAGAAGGUUCCAGAGGCUCUCUUGUCUUCAAGCCCUAGCCUUCUGGCAGACACUCCUCCACACCCAGCUUGUUACGGGAGUUCUAGGGAUGCAAACCGCGGCCCUUAUGCCUGUUACAGCAUUUUCCUGCUGUGUCUCCAGCCCUGAAGAACGGCACCUCUUCAGCUCUGAUAUGUCUGUAUUUGCUGUACCAUAAAAUUAACACAGGGAAGUUGAAAUAUUUUACAUUACGAAUGAAAUUUUCCAUUAAAAUAUUGUCAGACCUGGG